UAAUAACUCUGACAGAUGUGUCCCCACUGAUUGGAAACUACUCGGUGUUAGGAACCACAAGUAUUGCCCAAAACAAGUGCGAGUCUUCACUCUAAUAUUCUUAGACUUCAGGGCUGGAUUUGUUAUUAUCGAGCUCAAAGCUACAAAUGGUAUUAUAGGUGCCAGUUCAAAUUAGAUUGCAAAACACAUCCUACUAGUGCUACAGUAUCCAGGGUUGGUUUCAGCUGCCCACACUUUGUCAUAAUUCUUUGAGAUUUCUGUUGCCACUCCUAUAUAAUGGAGGUGAAUGGAUGCAUUAAACAGCAUUAAAAACUUGCACUCAGAGUCUAGUGAACUUUUUUUCCAGUUUUUCAUGGAACUAAAGUAUAGUCCCUGUUAUAAAGGAGGGUUAUCCAGAGUAACAGAGACACUGUUCCUAGAGAGAGAUGUUAAAUUUGUAUUGGUUUCCUUGUGAAAACCACAACAUGUACUUCCAUUGUACUGUAGUGAAGGCCAAUAUCUCAAAAUCUGGCCAAAUCAAACCAAAAACUAUCUCCAUGGCUAGAUGUAAGUAAGGACAUUUGGGUGAACUAACAAUUUACAGCAUAAAAAAGUGAAAGCCUCACAAUGUUAAAUCAUUCCACCGGGAACUAAAAACCUUGCUUUUGUUCAUGGGUCUUUUAAAUCAAUUGGGUGUGGUCCAGUUCUAUUCAGUAAAGCAGCCAACUCACGUAAAAGUUGUAUGGAAAAUCAUUUGCCCUAUCACACAUUGAAGUGGGCUCCAGUUCAGAAAGAAAACACAUCCCAUUAAGCAGCAGCAGUUGAGAAGCCGUGUUAUUAUGAAAGAAUGGAAACAUUUGUCGUGAUGAGUGGGAAACUCCUGUAAAUAUGUCACGUUUUGGCUAAUGAAUGCGUCUGGUAUUUAUAACAGCAAAAUAAGAGGGUUGUGAUUAUGUGUUUGUCAGUCAAGACAUAUUAUGCACCUGAGUGUGUUCUAGGACAGAUUGUUGGCUUCUGGGUGUGUGCGGGACAAGUUUGGUCCAGGACUCCAUAUGCUGCGGCACCGCAGAUGUUAAAAGAUAAAAGUCAGUGUGGCGCUGCAGAGACAAAUGGACGUGGUGACGUGUACAUGGGCAUGCAGACAGGCCAACACCUGGCUGCAGAGCAAAUGACUUUAGGCUCUGAAGGGAAGGGAUGAGUGUUGAUUCUGUUUGUCUCUUUGUGUGUGUGAGACUACACUAUAUGGCCAAAAGUAUGUGGACAACACAGACACUAAUUGUGUGCAGUUAUUUGAGGCUAGGCCCGUUUUUUCCGACUGUGAGAAAUAUUGAAGACCCUGAAAACGUAAAAUCUUUACAUUUACGUGACAGUUAAUAUUUGUGACUAAAUAUGCAACAAUCAGAGUUUUAAAAAAACAUGUACCGGUACUUACAUUUUGAAGGUUACCGGUACAGGCCGGGAAACCCCUCUUGUCCUCGGCUUUUGUUGGACCCCAUUUUCUAAAGGUUUCCUUUCAGAAAUUUGGGUUUCUUUUCACCAAAUUGUCCAAAAAAUAACAAGGAUGGUUACAUACAAUGCUCUUCACAAGUAAAAUAAAUGAUGAGUUUAUUACUUUAUUACUUAUUGAAUUUGGGUGUUUUAUUCAAUUUUAUAGCAUUUGAAAAAGAAAAGUUGAAAAAUGCGACAAAAAUUUCUGAUAAAGCUUCAAAAACAUGAAAAAAAGACAACAAACAUUAGAAAAAUUGCAGAAAUAAUCAACAGAAACGUCGUAAAAAGUUUCAAAAACGUUCGAGAAAAGUGUAGAAAAAGACGACAAAAACGUUUUAUUUUUUAAAUUUUGAGCCGAAAAAAAGAAAAGUUGCAUGGUGGACUGGAAGACAAGACACAGUGUGUUCAUUAAAGAGCAUUAAAGGGUGCUGGUAGUCUUCAUGCUUAGAAAGCAGCUGGUGGUAGCUUCAUACUUAGAAUACAGACAUGCGAGUGGUAUUCAUUUUCUCAUCUAACUCUUGGCAAGAAAGCAAAUAUGCAUAUUUCCCAAAAUGUCAAACUUCACUUUAACGCUCAACAAUUUCCCAACAAGUCAAACUUCUCUUGCUCAACAAAGUGCAAUCUCUGUGGAUGUGGUUUUAUUCAUUUCUGAAUCCGAUGUUGCUUAAUCCUUAUUCGUGCUUUUUUCUUUUUCUACCAUGUUUGAGUCCACUUUAAAUCAGUGGAGGAGUACAGAUUCAAAAAAAGAUUAUUUGAAGCUUUGGCAGAAAAUAGUGUGUUCAUGUAAGAUCUCAUCACUCAUAGUAAGACGUUGAUUGCAAGCAUAUGUUUUCAGGACCUUCAAUUGCUACAGCAUACGGUGAUAUUUUUGACUCUUUGUGGAAACGGUUUGGGAUCGGUCUUUUCCUGUUUCUACACAACAGUGCCCCCAGUGUCAAUAAAGAAAUGUUUUUCUCAGUUUGGUGUAGAAGAAGUUCUCUUGCGUGCACAGAGCACUGACGUCUACUCUAUCUUACACCUUUGGAGAUUACUUGAUUAAUGCUGUUAUGCCUGAAAUUCGCUGCCAUGAUCUUGUUGAAAGCCUUCCAAGAACAGUGGAGGCUGUUAUAGCAGCAGAUUAAUGCCAAUGGUUGAAUGCCCAAGUGUCCGCAUACUCUUGUCCAUGUAAUGUGUGUUUUAUUGCUUUCUGUGUGCAUGUGUGUGGUCCACUUUGUAACUUGAGCCUACCUGCAAUUCUCAGAAACUUGCUGUCCCUUAGCAGCCCGACCUGACCUGAGACAGAGGCAGAGAAAGAGAGUGUGACGGGGGUUGGAAAAAAGGCAAUUGAAGGGGAGGGAGAGAGGGCGAGAGCGAGCCUCCAGAGGGGUUUGAAUUCCCCGCAAUCAGAAACGUGAAACAGAGAUGAGAAAGAGGCAGUGACUGAUCCUUACAAUCACAGACUUCCCACAUAUGUAGUCUCUACCCUUUUUUCUUUGGUUUUGUUUUGCACUUUUGCUUUUGUGUGAAGUCAAUCGAUGUGUCUUUCCUUCUGUUUCAGUGUUGUUUUUUGGUAGAAGUCUGAGAAACAGAGAAGGAGGGGUGAUUGUUUUUUGUUUUUUUGACCCUCUGUUUUUCUAUUUUCUAUUUAUUUCUAUUUGUUUUUGUACUUUUUUGUAACUUCAUCCACUUGGCAGCUUGAUAUUUAAUGAAUGUGUGUGUGUGUGUGGGUGUGUUUGUGUCAGCUCAUAAGCACUGUCUCAGCCUACCACUAGAAUAGACUUCCACUCCACCUGUCAGAUCUUUUACCUCCUUCGAUGCUGUGAAGGGGAGUUAACACUGCGGCCAUCUUAUUUGCUUUCUGUAACUGCCAUGUUGUGUUGAUGACGUCAUCUUUUUCUCGUGACCUUAACAGUAUCACAUAACCACUUAAAUUGAUGAGUUGCUUUUGUGUUUUGAUUAUGUUUAAUGUUGUUAUUUUUUGAGGGUUUUAUCAAAACUCAUUUUCAUAUCCUUCACAAAGGGCUCUACAUACAGCCCACAUAUAUACGCAUAGGCCUACCUACAUCCACACACACACACACACACACACCAACCCAGUCUCAUGGCAGUUAGUGAAAUGGUCACGUAAUUUAAUUUGAUUUGUGUACACAAACACGUUUAUCUCGUUUUUUUUCCGUGAUGGUCAGCACUUUUUUUUAAACUAAUGUACUUCAAUGGGAUUCUCAAUGAGAAGAUGACGUAUCUUUAAGAGCGACUACGGUAGAGAGUAGUAUGAAAGCCCGAAAAUCCGCAAUGGGAAGUUGGUUGGGUUGGUGGAUGGGUCAAACAACACAGGAUCUUCACCCAAAAGACCGUGAAUCGUGUCCCGCGUGUCACGUUUCCUAAACUCAACCGUCCCAUUCUUCUUUUCCUAAACCCCGCAACCCAAAACCGGAUAAGCUGUGUCCCGCAGUGUACAGCUAUGCAAUCGUUGGUAUUAUAAAAAACGUGCUGACCAUCACGAAAAAAGGAGGUACGUGUACACAAAUCAAAAAGAUUAAAUUACGUGACCAAUUCACAAACUGCCAUGAGACUGUGUUGCACACACACACACACACACACACACGCACACACACACACACACACACACACACACACACACACACACACACACACACAGUACAGCCUCUGUUUUCUCUACUGUGGUCUGAUUGUGGCCGUGUCCUCUGCUGGUAAAACAGUCAGACUACUGUAGCUGCUCUGUUUGUGCCCUCAGUGUUAUGUGAUCACUAUGAAGGCUCACCAUUGUGUGUCCAAAAAACAUUUUUGUCAUCGCUCAGCCACGCAGAACCGGUUUGGGCCAGAGCCCCGGCCUGAGAGGAACCCAAGAUGCAGAAAAUGAACGGUCAUUUUUGCGCUCAUCUUAUAUUUAAUGUUCUGUGUCUGUCUGACAGCAAAACGGUGCUGGUUUAAUGCUUUUCUGUGUUGUUUCUUUUUUUUCUUUUAUCACUGGUAUCCUGUUUUUACUUCCUCCAAAAAGACAAAGAUGUAAAAAAAAAAAAAAAGAAAGAAAGAAAAGAAAACGGAAAAAAAGAGAUGAUGAUCUUUUUUUGGAAAAAUGACUUUUUAUUUGAGUUGCAUGCUGAAAUGCAGAUAGUACUUUUGCUUGUAAAACUAUGAAUUGCACCUUAUUGGAGGGAUAUGGUUUUGUUUUUUAUGCUUAUAUGAAUAUAUAUAUAUAUGUGUAUAUAUAUAUGUAUAUAUACAUGUGUAUAUGUAUAUAUAUUUAUGUGUAUAUGUAUAUAUAUAGAUACAUAAAGGGGAUAUAUGUUUAUUUGUUUAUUUUAUUUUAAAUAUUUUAUUUUAUAUUAAAAGAUGUAAGUAGUUAGUCAUGCAAAUGUGUUGUAUCUUAAACAGGGUUAUGAUUUGUUAUGCUUAUUAAUGUCAUGUGUCAUCAUAAUUGAUUCCGUCACUGGUGUUUGUUGUGGGACGGCUUCAUUAAGCAUCGGAAAAUAAGCCAGAGACUGGUGAACAUGCAAAAUAUCCGACACAUUACCUAGAAUGGAUUGUGACACUGGUAAAAAAAAAUUAAAAACUAUUUUUACUAUAUACAAUUUGGACUUCUGUGAGCACAAACCUCCAAAUUAAGGUUUAUAUUGGGUCACAGAUGUACAUUUAAUCCAAAGUGGAGAUAUCUGCUGAAAAAAAGAAUUGACGACUAAAACUGAGCAGGAACAGGUUUCCCUUGUUGGUCCAGAUAAUAACAUUCUGUAAUGAGUGUGACUGCCUGGCUAAUUGCUGCUGCUUAGUGGAGCUUUGUUUGCAGACACACACACACACAAACACACACACACACACGCACACACACACACACAAACAUACUCACACAGUGACCACUAGGAGGCAUCCUGCUUGUCACAUAAACAAGCACUUCUUCAGCCUUCCGUCCAUCUUGUCCUUGAAAAAGGACAAGAGACUAACUAACAAAAGACACCAUGUUGCUUAUGUUCACAUAUUUUCACACACAUACACACAACAUUACGGCCUUGGCAGAUGAUUGGCACAAGGCAUGCUGCUGCCACCCGCUUUCAUGUCCCCAGGGCAGAGUGCUCUCAGCCGCCAAUUAACCAAGAGUUCCAUAUCCAUCUAAUCCCCCCCCACCACAUUGCCAGAUGUAACCUUCCACUCUUUACACAGACUCUGUUUUGGUAAAAGAUACAGUUUCCAAUGUGAGAGAGAUAAUGAAAGUAGGUGAAAUGGUGUGUUUUUGUUAGAUAAAAUCAAACAAAGUGUAAGCGAUAAGUAGACUGGUCAUGCCUUCUAUUCUGGCCCAUCAUUGUCUGCCAAUGGAAAGUACCUACUGUAACAUAAAAAAAACAUCCCUACCUUAGCUGACAGCAAUGUUAUUAUGUAGCCCGCAAAACCACAAACCUGUCGCCCCUUUCCAAGCAUUUCAAACUUGUUUGAAAAAGCUGUCAGAAGAGGACAAAGCAAGGAGAUGAUUUUUAUACCUUUUUUAUUUUUGACACAACGGCUACACAUGAGCGUACCUUAUUACAUAUUGUGACAUUGUACAAUAACACAACCUGUAUCCCCUGCCUCCCUCUGUCCCCAUGCACUGAUAAGGAUUGUAUAUGGUUGCAUAGUUUAUUUUUUAUAUCAUUGUUAGGGCUUCAUUUUGUUCCCGGGGGUCCCUUUUUUUUUUCUUUUCGUGCUGUUAUGUUUAAAUGGUUUGAUGGGUCUCUGUAAUUGUGUGGGAGAGUGCGUAUGCGCUGUAGCUUACUGAAUGUGUGUGUGAGUGAGAGAGGCAGAAGAGAAAAAAGAUUGGUUGUGCACAUCAGUCCUUUGCCUGUGUUCAUCAUUGUGCCAGUGUGUUCAGGUGUUCCCUUGCCUCCACAUCUGUUCAUCCAAAUUGAGAGAGAGAAAGAGAGAGAGAGAGAGAGAGAGAGAGAGAGAACAGAAGAGGAGGAGGCAGAGGGCCUUUUCCCACAGGGGAAAAAAAAAACAUAAAUGAGAAAAGACACUUUUGAAAAAAGGACAUUUUUCUCCUCUGCGGGGUCGCAAAGAAGAGUGUACAUUUUUAAGUUAAAUGAAAAUGAAGAAUAAAAAAACUCAUUUGUUCUCUAUAUGAAUGGCUGUAUGUUAACCAUGAACAAAAAGUAAUGAGUUCUAUGACAAAGACGUAUAAUAAAUUAAUUUUAAAAUUUUAA